CAAAUUAAUGUAUGUAUUGUAAAUUCUUAAUUAAUUCACUUUUAUAAUAAAUUUUGUAAUAGCCCAUUUUUGCCCGGGCCCAGUACACACAAAACCCCAUACCCAAUCUAAAAACAAAGGCCCAAUUACAAUGUGGCCCAAAUGCCUAAAACAGUUUCUGAAACCCUAGGGCAGCAACAGUGGCAUUUGGCGCCACAACCAGAGUCCUUCCCCGCGCGUGUUGCACCUCCGCGUUCGUGCGCUCCUCCAAGCAUGUACCUGCAAAAGGCAACAAACAGUAUAGGCAAGAAAAUCAGAAAAAUCGCAAAUCAAGCAGAGAAUAGAACGAUUUUUUUCCUUUAUUUUCUUGUUUCAUUUCAGUUAUAAAAGCCAUCUUAACAUACUAUAAAAAAGAGGAGAGGACGAGAUUGAUACAAAAUAAAUCAAAUAUCAGUUUCUUUUUAAGGUGAUUAUUAGAGCUUUUUUCUUUUUCUUUUUCUUUCUUCGAUUUAUGACUCAUUUUUUACAUAUGCGAAAAAAAUAAAAAAGAAGGGAAAGGGAUGCUUACCUUUGCCCUCGGAUCUGUUUCAAAAGGGGUUAAAAACCCAACUCAGAGCAUCUCCGGUCGCUGGUCACGGUGGAACUGUGGCGGAAGGGUGGUUGCCAAGGCUAGGGUCGAAACCCUAGCAGAGAAACAUCAAACUUUUUUUUUUAUUUUUA
rnacentral:lncRNA from 1 species